CCCAGAGGCACCCGCGCACGGCGUCGGUAUGAAGUUGUCGAUGUUCGAAUCUAUCGUCGAAGAAGCACCAUAACGCAUCGGUCGUUUCGUUUUGACAGUGUUUAGUCGCGAAUGUCGUAUUAUAACAGUGAGUUUGAUGGCGUUUUCGCGAGUGUCCCCUUAUGCACGCGACGACGAUAAAGUAUAAGACGCACCAGAUUCAUUGGCAGAACAGCAACCAGAUCAUCUUCAGGGCAUCGGCACUCUGUGUUGAAUGAAUUGGGGCCCACUCCAGUUCGGUUUGAUCGCAUUUUCACGAAUGUUGCCUUGUAAAUGUGCAAUGUGCGACAAGGAGGCGCGAGACGACGGCGAAGCCUGGAAGACAUCAGGGCAUCUUCGAGAUCAUCUUCGGGGCAUCGAAAUGUUUAAUCGUGAUUACGUCUUAUUACGAUUGGUUUGAUGACGUUUUCGCGAAUGUUGCCUACGAGUGUGUGACGGGGAAGCGCGAGACGACGACGACGGAGCCUGGAAAACAUCUGCGGAUUCGUUGACAGAGCAUCUCCAAUGUCAUCUUUGGAACAUCUAUCCUGCAUCAGACUCUGUCUUACAGUCCUCCCAAAAAAAAAUAAAAAAUAUCAAGAACGAGCGUCAAAUAUUUUAUUAAAAUUAUUUUCACU
rnacentral:lncRNA from 13 species